UACGUAGGGCGCAAGCGUUGUCCGGAAUUAUUGGGCGUAAAGAGCUCGUAGGCGGUCUGUUACGUCCGCUGUGAAAACCCAGGGCUUAACCCUGGGCUUGCAGUGGAUACGGGCAGACUAGAGGCAGGUAGGGGAGAAUGGAAUUCCUGGUGUAGCGGUGAAAUGCGCAGAUAUCAGGAGGAACACCUAGGGCGAAGGCAGCUCGCUGGGACGUAACUGACGCUGAGACGCGAAAGCGUGGGGAGCAAACAGG
rnacentral:rRNA from 1 species